rnacentral:ncRNA from 1 species
UCCGACAAAGGUAAACCUCGGGUAACCGGGGGACACAAAGCCACGGGUCCUGCUCUGAAGGAAAUGGGGACAGCCGGGUUGCCGAAA